AGCCGGCCGCGCCCACUUCUCGCGAGACGUUCGCGCCUGCCCGGGAAGGUUCUCAGAGGCGGAAGUGGAGUAGCGGAAGCGGCGUUGCCAUGGAGUCAGCGGAGGACUGGCUGGUGGAAUCCUUGCGCUUGUACCAAGAUUUCCAUGCAUUCGACCUUUCCGAAGCCACACGAGUCCUUGAAUGGAUUGAUGACAAAGGAGUCUGUGUUGCUGGCUAUGAAAGCUUGAAAAAAAAUGAGAUUCUUCAUCUGUUACUACCUCUCAGACUUUCUGUAAAAGAAAACCAGGGCUUAUUCCCAGAAAGAGAUUUCAAGGUACGCCACGGAGGAUUUUCAGACACGUCUGUCUUUGAUCUGAAGCACGUGCUGGACACAAGGUUGCUGGUAACCAGUGGUCUUCCAGGUUGUCACCUGCAUGUGUGGCAGGUGACAGAGGACAGUGACGUCAUUCAAGCUGUCAGCACCAUUGCCGUGCAGGAGGAGGAGGGGAGUCUCUGGCCUAGGGUGGCCAUCUUCUCUUCGAUGGCCCCCGGAGUCCUGCACGGGGCGAGGCUCCGCGGUCUGAAGGUUGUGGAUCUGGAAACUCAGAAGACCACGUACUCCUCAGGGGUCGGAGACAGUGAGGAGCUGAGCAGCCUGCAGGUCCUGGACGCAGACACCUUUGCCUUCUGCUGUGCCUCGGGCCGGCUGGGGCUCGUUGACAUCCGCCAGAAGUGGGCGCCGUCAGAGAAUGCCGGCCCCGGCCCCGGGGCCACUGCAAGGAGGUGGUGUGCUGAAGUUGGGGGCCGACACCGGGGCCCUGGGCCCAGCAUUGCCAGCCUUGGCUCAGACGGGCAGCUCUGUCUCCUUGAUCCCCGGGAUCUCUGCCACCCUGUGAGCUCGGGGCGGUGCCCCGUGUCCGCACCGAGCCCUGCCCCAGAGCUGCUGCGAGUGACCUGGGCUCCAGGCCUGGACGACUGCCUGGCCAUUUCAGGUUUUGAUGGGACAGUCCAGGUCUAUGAUGCCACAUCUUGGGACGGAACGGGGGGCCAAGUAGAACCUGUCUUCACUCACAGAGGUCACAUCUUCCUGGAAGACAAUCAGACAGAUACUGCGCCACUGGUCACUACCCACACCUGGCACCCCCACAAGCCGAGGACCUUGUUAUCGGCAGCAAGCGACGCCUCUCUGCACGUGUGGGACUGGGUGGACCGCCGUGCGGCCUGCUGACUCCAGCCUCUCCCUGCCCAGGCCUCUAAGAAGAGAAGGAGCUACCGGAAAGCCAAGGAAGUUUUCCGGAAGUCCCGGGGAUCGUCAUUCCAAAGCUCUUCACUUCUCUCUGGCCUCGAGACCCCGUCUGGCUGGCGGACUGGAAGUCCUACUCGAGGAAAAUCAAGAAGGGACAUGGAGUUCUUAUGCAAUUUGCCUUCUGUUCUUUUAUCUGGACGUGGUGGGUGAAAUGAGAAUGGAAACACCUACCAGAAAGAUCUGGUUUUCAGAAGAAAUCGUUUAGUGAAUGACUCAGGAAAUGUGCCCCCUUACGUGAGGAGUACAGGGCAAGGUGUUCUUCUAUCUUAACAGUAAGUACAAUGAUGGCGACAAUGAGAAGGAACAUUUGCUGAGGGCCAGCAAUGUCCCAGGAUCCUCCUAACAGCCCAGUGAGCUAGAUACUGUGUCCAUUUUACAGAUGAGACAGUGGAGGCCUAGGUGUUUAACCAGUUUGCCCAAGAACAGAGAAGGCUUUCAGUGGCAGACUGUUGUAUGUAAUACGCACCGGGUAUGUUGGAUGGAAACAAACAACUGGAACUUUACAUCACUCGGACCUCUCUUUCCUCUUAUAAUGGUUACUAAAUAUUAUUUCUAGAAUGUUGUUACUAAAAGCAGACAGGGAGCAGGCAAGA